rnacentral:rRNA from 1 species
CUACGGGCCGCUGCAGUGAGGAAUAUUGCACAAUGGGGGGAACCCUGAUGCAGCAACGCCGCGUGGAGGAUGACGCAUUUCGGUGUGUAAACUCCUUUUAUAUGUCAAGAAAAUGACGGUAGCAUAUGAAUAAGCACCGGCUAACUCCGUGCCAGCAGCCGCGGUAAUACGGAGGGUGCAAGCGUUACUCGGAAUCACUGGGCGUAAAGGACGCGUAGGCGGGUUGGAAAGUCAGGUGUGAAAUCCUACAGCUUAACUGUAGAACUGCACUUGAAACUUCUAAUCUAGAGUAUGGGAGGGGGAGAUGGAAUUAGUGGUGUAGGGGUAAAAUCCGUAGAUAUCACUAGGAAUACCUAAAGCGAAGGCGAUUUCCUGGAACAUUACUGACGCUAAGGCGUGAAAGCGUGGGGAGCAAACAGGAUUAGAUACCCCUGUAGUC